UAACAAGAUUAUACACAAUCUUGGAAAUUUUGAGUCAAAACCUCGUCAAAUUGUCUAAGAUAUAGCUCAAAUCACAAGUACAAGUAAAUCGGGCUACUUACUACCCUUAGAUUCCAAGCGCUAACUUCAACUGCCAAUAUCUCCUUCAUCAAAGCUUGGAAUUUAACAAAAAGUAAGCAUAAAUUGUAGCUGAAAAAGUGCUCUCUUCAGCUCCAGUCGCCGAUCUUCGUUUGCUGUCUAUAUGCAUGCGCAAUGCCCCAAAGACUGACAGUAGGUCCAAAAACUAACACCUUAACUUUGAGCACCUAUAAUUUUUUCAUAAAAAUCCCAAAUGACACAAAACUUACACCAAAACCAUAGCCAAAAACCUAAA
rnacentral:lncRNA from 1 species